rnacentral:rRNA from 1 species
UACGAAGGGGGCUAGCGUUGCUCGGAAUCACUGGGCGUAAAGCGCACGUAGGCGGAUUGUUAAGUCAGGGGUGAAAUCCUGGAGCUCAACUCCAGAACUGCCUUUGAUACUGGAAAGCUUGAGUUCGGGAGAGGUGAGUGGAACUGCGAGUGUAGAGGUGAAAUUCGUAGAUAUUCGCAAGAACACCAGUGGCGAAGGCGGCUCACUGGCCCGAUACUGACGCUGAGGUGCGAAAGCGUGGGGAGCAAACAGG